CGGGGGAGGCUGGAUCCUGGGCUGUGUCCCGGCGCCCAGCGCUCCCGGGCCUGCGCUGUUGGAUUCGUGCUCCUGGUCGCGCAGCCGCCG
rnacentral:pre_miRNA from 1 species